rnacentral:lncRNA from 1 species
AUGAUUUACAUAAUUUAAGAGAGAGAAAUGUACAUUAUUUAGCCUAUUUAUUCACAAACACUUGGCCAUAUCUCUCCCAACCUCUUACCAACGAAAUUAUCUUGCCCAUAAGCUCCUAAUCAAAGCCCAACCAUCACAAACAACAAAUCAGAAGCAUCAAAGCCAAAAAAAUCAAAAAUCGAAGCUAGAAAAGGUAUGAAAUUCCCUAAUUUUGAAAUCCUUCGAUUCGAUGUUAAUUGAUGCAAUUGAUUGUUUAAAGUAGUGUAAUAGGGAGUCUAUUAAUGUUCUGGGUUGUAAAAACACAGACCCAUAACAUCAAAGUGCACGAAUUUGAAGAUUUGAGCAAGUUGGAAAAAUCGAAUUCUGUGAUUUUUCAUCAAAUGUUUGGGCUUAUAACUCUUUUCUCGAUCAUGAUAUUUGUUUUUUAAAAGUUGUUAGGUGUAGCUUGUUAUGUGGUCUUUAACCUCCAAAAGGAAUCAGGUCUAUAUCUAUUGUGGAGCAAAUGUUAUUUAAGGUCAAAGUGGGUUGACCGGCAUUGACCGGCUGUUCUUUAAACCCAAAAAAAUAUUCUAAGUGUCCAGAAAAUAUUUUUUGGCAAAUGUCAG